rnacentral:rRNA from 1 species
GACGAACGCUGGCGGCGUGCCUAAUACAUGCAAGUAGAACGCUGAAGGAGGAGCUUGCUCUUCUGGAUGAGUUGCGAACGGGUGAGUAACGCGUAGGUAACCUGCCUGGUAGCGGGGGAUAACUAUUGGAAACGAUAGCUAAUACCGCAUAAGAGUAGAUGUUGCAUGACAUUUGCUUAAAAGGUGCAAUUGCAUCACUACCAGACGGACCUGCGUUGUUUUAGCUAGUUGGUGCGGUAACGGCCCACCAAGGCGACGAUACAUAGCCGACCGGUGAGGGGGAGCGGCCACACUGGGACUGAGACACGGCCCAGACUCCUACGGGAGGCAGCAGUAGGGAAUCGUCGGCAAGGGGCGGGAGUCUGACCGAGCAACGCCGAGGGAGUGAAGAAGGAUGUCGGAUCGGAGAGCUCUGUUGUAAGGGAGGAACGAGUGUGAGAGUGGAAAGUUCACACUGUGACGGUAUCUUACCAGAAAGGGACGGCUAACUACGUG